rnacentral:rRNA from 1 species
UACGUAGGGUGCGAGCGUUGUCCGGAAUUACUGGGCGUAAAGCGUGCGCAGGCGGUUGUGCAAGACAGAUGUGAAAUCCCCGGGCUCAACCUGGGAACUGCAUUUGUGACUGCACGGCUGGAGUGCGGCAGAGGGGGAUGGAAUUCCGCGUGUAGCAGUGAAAUGCGUAGAUAUGCGGAGGAACACCGAUGGCGAAGGCAAUCCCCUGGGCCUGCACUGACGCUCAUGCACGAAAGCGUGGGGAGCAAACAGG